rnacentral:lncRNA from 1 species
AUAUAAACAUUUACAACUAUGGUUCUACCACAAGUCUGGCACAACCGCCAACAAAAUUAUACCGUUCAAAAGAAUUAACAUUUCUAUACUAAGUACAUAGUAUAGGACAAUAAAAACUGACUAAGGCCAUUUGCCUUUAGUCACGCUCAAUCUCAUUCUUAUUACUUGAAAUUGUUACAUGCAAUUAUAUUUUAAAUACUAGGUUAGUGUGAAUCAAGUUAUAUAAAAUAUACUUAUUGCAAUAAAAUUAUAUGUAUCACAAAUUCAUUUCAACGUGAAAUAAUUUUACUUUUACCAGUCAUUUUACUAAAAUCAUUGGCUCAAUUAGGCUAAUUUUCCUUGAUUUUAUAUCAAGAUUUAAAAACUAUAUUUGAUUGACACUUGCAACACAUUCAUCAAUUCAACGAUCACCAAUAAUUAGAGAGCGAUCGCAAUAUAAUAUAUGACAUGAUAUCACUUAUAAUCAUCUAGCUAUGAUCCACCUUAUUACAUUACCUCUUGCUGUAUUUUUUUUUCCUAACGGUCGAAGCACCAUGCAAACCAUGUGUCGUCUAAAAUAUAUUUUUCUAAAGUAAUCAUUUUUUAUAAUUCAUAGCACAUUUAAAACAUAACUUGCAUUUAUCCAUAAAGCAUCACCAUGUUAAAAAAAAAAUCACACAUGCUUUACUCAUAAAAUUUUUACUUUUAAAUAUAUAGAACAUAACAAAACUCACCUUAUACAUAUUUCACGUUAUUUGUUUCCGUGCUUGCUUGUAAGCUAAAGUAAUUGUCCAUCGGGUUCCGAUCGUAUAAUUAAAAAUUUUAAAUUUAAUAUUCCGCAUUCAUGGCAUACUAUAUUUGCUUAAUUACAUUAUCGUUUAGUACACUGAGUCUAAGAGUAGAAAGAAUAUAUAGGGUAUCAUAAGAAACAAGUUUUUCUAAAAAAGUAUCUUUUGUCAAAAUUUGGCUGAAGUGUAAGAAAAUUAAAUUUUGAAAUAGUGUUUUCUUCAAACCAGUUUUUUUGACAAUUCUUCUUUAUACCUUGACUAGUCAAUUAUGAUUUUAUAAAAUUUUUAUUGCAAGGUAUUGUGCUGACUCAAUGCCUCAAUUUUGAUGAUAACAAAACGUUGUGUUAGUAGUCUAAUGAUUCUACUUAAUGUGAAGAUUCUGUCUUGUUUUAAUUAUUCAUUAGGUCAGAUAUUCGAUGAAGUAAAAUUAGUGAAGUCUUGCAAAGUCAAACUUUCUGGGUAAGAUGUGUCGACACAUGAUCAUGUGGUGUCGUAUGAACCUUUGAAGUUAUCUUUAAGAAUUUGAGAAAAAGUUUUAGGUAAAUGGAGGAAGUUAUGAAUUUCAUUGGAUUGAAGACUUUGAAGAUUGCAUAUAUUUAAAGAGAAGACAUUUUAAAGAACUUGAAUUGAUCAAUGCUCAAAUGACCAAGGAAAAUAAAGAUUUAUAUUCUGGGCAAGAUGUGUCGACAUAUGCUCUUGAGGUGUCGACACAUAAAGACACUAUCCAAAUAAUUGAUUAAAAGUGUCGAUACAUCUGGUUGAAGAAUCGACACAUGAAAAUAUCAAACUUGAAUCUAGAUAUAAAGUAUCAACACAUCGGGUUAAGGUGUCGACACAUGUGGAUAGUGAGUAAAGAUUUAAAUCUGAAAAUAUAUGUGUCGACACAUCAGAUGAAAUAGUCAACACAUACGGACAAUGAACAAUCUGAAUGUGAAGUGUCAACACAUCCUUUAGGUGUCAGCACAUUAAGAUAGUGCCGAAAGAACUUAAGGUAUCGUCACAUAGAGACAAAGACCAAAUUUUUGAAGAUUGAUGAUUAAGUGUCGAUACAACAUGACUUUGAAGUGUCGAGACAUGAAGAUAGUGUGUUUCAAAAAGAAUGAAGGCUCGAAGUGUCAACAUAUAUUCAUGAAGUGUCAACACAAGAAAUCAGAAAGCUCAGACAACAUAGAAGGUGUCGACACAUGUUCUUGAGAUGUCGACACAUAAAACCUAAAAAAGUUCAAAGUGUCGACACAUGGGUAAAAGUGUCAACACCUAACAGCUAGUUUUUUGAACGUAGAGGUGUUUGAACUAGUAUUAAAUAAUCUACAACUACCACAAACAGGUAGUAGAACUUCAAGCCUUUAUAUACAAGACUCCAAAUGCAUUAUAAAUAAGAGACAUAAACCCAUUGCAUUGAUUUGAUCAUCAAAGAGCUUUGAAGUCUACAUUUUAAAAAAUUCCUUCGGUCUUCAAAGUGUGAGCAUUUAUUGAGCUAUUCCAAUCUUAUCCACUCUAGUUAGAAAGUUUGUUUUAUAUGUAUACAACCUUCAAACGGAAAUUGAUUUUUGCACUCUAAAAUUUGAUUUUUGCACUCUUAUUUUGAAGUGCAAAAAUUAAAUUUUGGAGUGCAAAAAUUAAAUUUUUCUUCAAACACUUGUAUACUUAUAAGUUUGAAUGUACCUUGGAUAAAAACACUUGUAAGAUUAAGUAGAUUUUGGACAAAACCACUUAGAGAACUUAGUGAUAAGUUUUUGUGUAAAAGUGAGCUGAGCACUUGAUAAAUCAGCAUCCCACCUUGUAAUUUUUAAUUGCAAUAGUGGAAGAGAUUUUGCGGAUGUCUCAGGAGGACAUAGACCACACGUUGUAGUUAAACCUCGGUAAAUCUUUGUAUGCAUUCUUAUUUCUUAAUUUUAUUUUAUAUUUACAUUGCAUAUAAUUUGAUUCACUGUUUUAUUAAUUAGAUUUAUUUUAAUUAAGCCUAAAUAUUUAAAAAACUCAAUUCACUCCUUUUGAGUUGCCUUUUGGGCCAACAAGUAUACUUUUCAUAACUAGAAGAAUCAUUUAAAAAAAUAUAUAGAAAUAUAUUUUUUGUACUAAAACUAUUUUUUUAUUUAAUUGUAAUUAUAUUUUUUUUGUAUUUUUUAUUUAAUCUAAAUUGGGGAUAUUUUUUACUUAUAUUACAAACUUAAAGUAAAAGAAAAGAUAAGGUUUAUGACUUUUAUUUAAAUAUUUUCAAUGAGAAUAAGUAUGCUGGUAGAGAAUUGGGCCAGGACUAGCCCAACAGUUGGCAAAAAGUUAAAUCUAUCAAACCUCAACUGGUCAUGGAAAAGCUCUAUCGGUCCAAGUCAAAUAAUAGCUUAACUGGAAUUCUUCUACCGAUCGGGAAAACAUAUUCUACCAGUCGGGAAAAAGCUCUACUGGUCAACAAAAUAGUUCGAUAGGUACAGAUCAAAAUAUAUGUUAAGUGAAAUCUUCUACUGGUCAUAAAAAAGCUCUACCGAUCUAGUUGAAAAAAAAAAAAGAAUAUUGAUUUUCCUUACUUGAAUUCCAAGCCUGUGUUAGGCCACCCAACCUCUGAGUUAGGAAAAAAAACAUUUUAAAUCAAAGUUGUAAUUAUUUAAAAUAUAUAUUAUAAGCAACUCGAAUGAUUAUAUGAAUAAGUUAUAAUCAAAAUAAUAACUGUUGAUUCAGUGAAUAAAAUAAUAUAUCGACCUAUAUGAAAUUUUGCUGUAGAGAGGUGUAUGAGGUAUUUUUAGGAUAUUUGGAAGGUUAAAUCAUUCUAGACAUGAUUUUUAAUAAUAGGGCUCAAAAUAAAAGAAAUCUUCGAAGAAAAUGAGAGACAUUGAAUUUACCUUCAUAGAAAACGGAAUCGAUUUUUUGGUAUUGAGUUUUUCACUGUUUUAUUUUUCUUUCUUUUCUCCUUCCUCAUUCUCUCAGACCUCUUUUUUUUUCUUUUCCUCUCUCUCCGCCGAAUUCUCUGUCUCUCUUUCUCUUUUCCUCUUUUCUUUCUUUCUCCCCUUCUCCUUUCUUAAGCAAGUUAAGUCCAUAAAUUUGGGCUUAGUUGAUGGGUUUGGUGGUGAGCCACCACUAAUAUGUGGUCUCAUGAUUCCACGUGGCUCAUUCCACGUAUAAUUGACAUGUGUCCCACAAGUGGAACAUGUGUCCAAUUUUCUGUUCUAUUUUAUUAGAAAUUAUUUUCAAAUAAAAAUUAUGUUAUCGUAAAAAUUUUAAAAAUUUACAAAUAUUUUACAAGUGUAUUUAUAUAUAUUUUUAUUACUAUAAUAAGAUAAAAAUAAUUAAGAAUCAAGGUAUUAAAAAUUUGCACAAGGCUUAAACUAUAAGGAGAUAAAAUGAAUCUUUCCAGAAAGAAAAAUAAUGAAUGUAGUUAAUUUAUAAAAUUCUAAGUAUUUAUAUACUUUGAACCCAUUAAUAUUACGAGAGUUAAUUUUGGCAAACAUUAAUAGCUUUAGCUUGGUAAAGGAAUCAGGUUUUUUAAACCUUUUUUUUGUGAAAUCGUACUUACAAAAGGAAAUUGCUAGUCAGUAAUUAAUUAGUUAAUGACCAUAAAUAUAAAAAAAGGGAGUGCAAUUGGAUAAAAAAGGAGUGUAUAAAUUAUUAGUUGAUGUUUAUCGAUAUACAUAUAUAUAUAUAUACAUAUACAUAUACAUAUACAUAUAUAUAUAUAUAUAUAUAUAUAUAUAUAAAGAUGUAAGUGUAAUUAAUAUAAUUAUUAUAGAAUUUACAGUAAAAUCAUAUUGGGUUGAAGUAGACUUCAGAUUUCGGGUGGAGUUUUUGUAAUAUUCAUACCUUACUCGCUUUUAAUCGAGUAGGGAUUUUAAAAUCUUGUACCUAUCUGUCAAGAAGAAAAUUUAUUUAAAUCUGCCCCUUUGGCUUCGAGUCUGUCGGAUACCUAUAGUAUUGAAUUUGUCAAAGCAGUUUUUUCAAACCAGGCUAUCCUAAUUGUUUUGUAUUAUAGGGAAAGGCUACGGUUAAUUAAAAUGUUGUUGAUGACACUAAAACGACGUUGUUUUGGUGCUAUCGAUAAUAUUUUCGGUAACAUUUUCGAUAACUGUAGACUUUCCCUUGUAUUAUACGCAGUUGCAUGAUAUUUCACCUUUCAACCCAAGACAUGUAAUCACAAUUUAUGUUGACAUCAUGGCAAAUGUUAGGCUAGUUGUCGUAAGAUGUUUAUUCCAAUUUGUGACGAAAGGACCGAAAAUUUGAAUCACUUGGACAAGGUACGAUAGA